UGGGGAAUAUUGGACAAUGGGCGAAAGCCUGAUCCAGCAAUGCCGCGUGUGUGAAGAAGGCCUGCGGGUUGUAAAGCACUUUUGCCAGGGAAGCACAGUGAGGCGCUAAUACCGUUUCACACUGACGGUACCUGGAGAAUAAGCACCGGCUAACUUCGUGCCAGCAGCCGCGGUAAUACGAAGGGUGCAAGCGUUAAUCGGAAUUACUGGGCGUAAAGCGUGCGUAGGCGGCGCGUUAAGCCUGAUGUGAAAUCCCUGGGCUCAACCUGGGAAUGGCAUCGGGGACUGGCGGGCUAGAGUUUGGGAGAGGGUGGUGGAAUUCCCGGUGUAGCGGUGAAAUGCGUAGAGAUCGGGAGGAACAUCUGUGGCGAAGGCGGCCACCUGGCCUGAAACUGACGCUGAGGCACGAAAGCGUGGGGAGCAAACAGGAUUAGAUACCCCCGUAGUCC
rnacentral:rRNA from 1 species